rnacentral:tRNA from 1 species
GCGCCCGUAGCUCAACUGGAUAGAGCAUCGGCCUUCUAAGCCGGCGGUUGAAGGUUCGCGUCCUUCCGGGCGCGCCA